GGUUUAACUGAAAUGCCUACUAUUUUAGUAACUACACAUUUCCAGCAAAAGUAAAGAAAUGAUACUCAAUUUGAUUAUUCACCACAGACGCCAAGAUCAUUCUUUAGUCUGAUUUUAGCCUCACGUGGUCUCACCCGAACAUUUGUUUUUGGAAUUUGGACCUAACUGGUUACCAAACCUGUCUGCAGGUGUGAGAUGAAGACUUUUGUGAGUCCUGAGGCCAUUUCUCCUGACCUUGUCAAGAAGAUCCGUGAUUUCCACAGGAAAAUACUCACCCUCCCAGAGAUGAUGAGGAUGUUCUCAGAAAACUUGGCGCAUCAUCUGGAAAUAGAUUCAGGUAAACAGCUUGGGAUUUGGGGAGUCAUUCUUCCAUUCAUCCAUUCAAUCCAUGGCAGCAAACAGAGCAAUAAAAUGCAUGAAUUCUGG
rnacentral:lncRNA from 1 species